rnacentral:rRNA from 1 species
GGCGAACGCUGGCGGCGGGCUUAACACAUGCAAGUCGAACGGAAAGGCCCUGCUUUUGUGCGGUGCUCGAUUGGCGAACGGGUGAGUAACACGUGAGUAACCUGCCCUUGACUUUGGGAUAACUUCAGGAAACUGGGGCUAAUACCGGAUAGGAGCUCCUGCUGCAUGGUGGGGGUUGGAAAGUUUCGGCGGUUGGGGAUGGACUCGCGGCUUAUCAGCUUGUUGGUUGGGUAGUUGCUUACCAAGGCUUUGACGGGUAGCCGGCCUGAGAGGGUGACCGGCCACAUUGGGACUGAGAUACGGACCAGAGUGCUACGGGAGGCAGCAGUGGGGAAUAUUGCACAAUGGGAGGAAGCCUGAGGCAGCAACGCCGCGUGCGGGAUGACGGCCUUCGGGUUGUAAACCGCUUUCGCCUGUGACGAAGCGUGACUGACGGUAAUGGGUAAAGAAGCACCGGCUAACUACGUG